GGCGAUUCUUGUACGUUAGUGUGCCAUUUCUGUUUAAAUUGAUCAACAAGAUUUUGUUUAACAAUAGUAUAAAGCCAUGUAUCGUUUACAAAAUAUUGGGUAUCCCACACAAAUGAUAAACCAGAUUCAUCAAGAAUGGAUUUAACAUGUUUCAGCCAAGUAAUAUCAUUUUUAUAUUUAUACAAUGAGUACUUGUAUAGUAUUGCAGGAAGUUUUUCUUGUUUU
rnacentral:lncRNA from 1 species